rnacentral:rRNA from 4 species
GUGACGAAAAAUAACGAUACGGGACUCAUCCGAGGCCCCGUAAUCGGAAUGAGUACACUCUAAACCCUUUAACGAGGAUCAAUUGGAGGGCAAGUCUGGUGCCAGCAGCCGCGGUAAUUCCAGCUCCAAUAGCGUAUAUUAAAGUUGUUGCGGUUAAAAAGCUCGUAGUCGAAUCUGUGUCCCGCGCCGCCGGUUCAUCGUUCGCGGUGUUAACUGGCGUGCCGCGGGACGUCCUGCCGGUGGGCUUAGCUCGCGAGGGCGGCCCAACUCAAUCCCGCCGCGGUGCUCUUCAUUGAGUGUCGAGGUGGGCCGGCACGUUUACUUUGAACAAAUUAGAGUGCUUAAAGCAGGCUAAAACUUCGCCUGAAUACUGUGUGCAUGGAAUAAUGGAAUAGGACCUCGGUUCUAUUUUGUUGGUUUUCGGAACCCCGAGGUAAUGAUUAAUAGGAACGGAUGGGGGCAUUCGUAUUGCGACGUUAGAGGUGAAAUUCUUGGAUCGUCGCAAGACGGACAGAAGCGAAAGCAUUUGCCAAAAACGCUUUCAUUGAUCAAGAACGAAAGUUAGAGGUUCGAAGGCGAUCAGAUACCGCCCUAGUUCUAACCAUAAACGAUGCCAGCUAGCGAUCCGCCGACGUUCCUCCGAUGACUCGGCGGGCAGCUUCCGGGAAACCAAAGCUUUUGGGUUCCGGGGGAAGUAUGGUUGCAAAGCUGAAACUUAAAGGAAUUGACGGAAGGGCACCACCAGGAGUGGAGCCUGCGGCUUAAUUU